GUGCCGCGGGAAGGUCCCGUCCCCCCCCCCCCCCCCCCGAGCUGGGUGUCACUGCUCUGAAUUCCCUCCACUGGAGAUGGGUCUCGGGAAUCUCAGCACAGGGAAGACUGAGGCAGGAGGAUUGCCAUAAGUUUGAGGACAUCCUACCUGAACUAUGAGUUGGGACCCUGUCUCAAAAAUUUGCAGCUGAAUCAACAAAGAAACGAGGAUCAACAGUUCCCAGUUCUGGAGGCUGAUGGUCUCUGAUUAAUCGCAUAGCCCAUUUAGUCCAGCUUCUGUGGCUCAUGGUGUCAAAACAGGUCACAUCAAGGCAGAAGCCAGAGGGAUUCAGCUAUGAGGCCUGCUGUUUUGCUUUGUUUUGUUUUACUUUCUUUAAUAUAAUAAACAAAACUGGCUCUCUCAAGGAUGGAAUGAUAAAUACAGUAAUCUGAUUAUCUUGCAGUAGAUAAUUUGUCUACCUGUUAAUGACUCUGCUUCUUGGACUACGUCCCAGUAGAUGCCAUGCUUUCAGCCUGAUGAAUGUCAAAAUGGCUGAACACUGUUGAAAAGAUGCCUCAUCACUGAGUCAUCUUUGCAAGUACCUUGUGGAAGAGCAAGUGACCACAAAUGUGAACGUGGAGACACUGGCUGUGAAGAUACACAUUUAUUUCUCUGCCUACAAGAAAGAAUAGAAAUAAAGAAACCAAAGU
ensembl:processed_transcript 4930417H01Rik RIKEN cDNA 4930417H01 gene